AAGAAACUAACAAGGAUUCCCCUAGUAACGGCGAGCGAAGCGGGAAGAGCUCAAAUUUGAAAGCUGGCGUCUUCGGCGUCCGCGUUGUAAUCUCGAGACGUGUUUUCCGUGCGGCUCUAUGGACAAGUCCCUUGGAACAGGGCAUCGUAGAGGGUGAAAAUCCCGUACUUGCCAUGGAAGUACCGUGCUUUGUGAUACACGUUCCAAGAGUCGAGUAGUUUGGGAUUGCUGCUCAAAGUGGGUGGUAGACUCCAUCUAAAGCUAAAUAUCGGGGAGAGACCGAUAGCGAACAAGUACCGUGAGGGAAAGAUGAAAAGCACUUUGGAAAGAGAGUUAAAAGUACGUGAAAUUGUCGAAAGGGAAGCACUUGAAGUCAGCCAUGCUGCUUGAGACUCAGCCUGGCUUUUGCUUGGUGUAUUUCUCGGUAGCAAGCCAGCAUUGGUUUGUGUCGUCGGAGAAGCGUAUGGGGAAUGUGGCAUCCUCGGAUGUGUUAUAGCCCUGUGCUGGAUACGACGACGCAGACCAAGGAACGCAGUGUGCC
rnacentral:rRNA from 1 species